rnacentral:tRNA from 1 species
CGGGGAGUAGCACAGUUGGUAGUGCGCAUGGCUGGGGGUCAUGAGGUCGCCCGUUCAAGUCGGGUCUCCCCGACCA